GAUGAACGCUGGCGGCGCGCCUAACACAUGCAAGUCGAACGGUUAAAGCACCUUUUAGGUGUGUAUAAAGUGGCGAACGGCUGAGUAACACGUGGGCAACCUGCCCUCCUCUUGGGGAUAGCCUCGGGAAACCGAGGAUAAUACCCGAUACUUCAAUGUGGCCGCAUGACGACAUUGAGAAAGCUUUUGCGGAGAAGGAUGGGCCCGCGGCCUGUUAGCUUGUUGGUGGGGUAGAUGCCUACCAAGGCAAUGAUGGGUAGCUGGGUUGAGAGACCGACCAGCCAGAUUGGGACUGAGACACGGCCCAGACUACUACGGGAGGCAGCAGUGGGGAAUCUUGCACAAUGGGCGAAAGCCUGAUGCAGCGACGCCGCGUGAGGGACGAAGGCCUUCGGGUUGUAAACCGCUUUCAGCAGGGACGAGGCGAUAAGUGACGGUACCUUCAGAAGAAGCCCAGGCUAACUACGUG
rnacentral:rRNA from 1 species